rnacentral:rRNA from 1 species
GCUCAGUAACACGUGGAUAACCUGCCCUUGGGUCUGGGGUAACCCCGGGAAACUGGGGAUAAUACCGGAUAACGCAUAUCUGCUGGAAUGCUUUAUGCGUAAAAUGGAUUUGUCUGCCCAAGGAUGGGUCUGCGGCCUAUCAGGUAGUAGUGGGUGUAAUGUACCUACUAGCCUACGACGGGUACGGGUUGUGAGAGCAAGAGCCCGGAGAUGGAUUCUGAGACAUGAAUCCAGGCCCUACGGGG